rnacentral:rRNA from 1 species
GAUGAACGCUAGCGGCAGGCCUAACACAUGCAAGUCGAGGGGUAACUAGAGUGAUAGCAAUAUUACUUUGGCUAGACCGGCGCACGGGUGCGUAACACGUAUGCAACCUACCUUAUACUGGGGAAUAACUUCGAGAAAUCGGCGCUAAUACCCCAUAACACUGCGGAGAGGCAUCUCUUUGCAGUUAAAGCUCCGGCGGUAUAAGAUGGGCAUGCGUCCAAUUAGCUAGUUGGUGAGGUAACGGCUCACCAAGGCUACGAUUGGUAGGGGUUUUGAGAGGAUGAUCCCCCACCCUGGUACUGAGACACGGACCAGACUCCUACGGGAGGCAGCAGUGAGGAAUAUUGCGCAAUGGACGAAAGUCUGACGCAGCCAUGCCGCGUGCAGGAUGACGGCCCUAUGGGUUGUAAACUGCUUUUGUACGGGAAUAAACCCUUCUACGUGUAGGAGGCUGAAGGUACCGUAAGAAUAAGCACCGGCUAACUCCGUGCCAGCCGCCGCUGUAA